rnacentral:rRNA from 1 species
AUGAUUGUUAUGUUCCCCUCGGUAAUUGAAGUUGUUGAUGAUAAUGCACAAAACGCCAGCAAAGCUCUCGAUAGGAUUAAAGCAAAAGGUGUUCUGGAUGCUAUUCAAACAUUUGACUUUGUUUUCAUGAUGCACUUGAUGAAGGCUGACAUUGUGAAUGCCAUGUCAUAUCUUCACACAACCAAAAGAACGCUACAGGACAUGAGAAACCAAGGUUGGGAAGGUAUGAUUAAAAAGGUUACUGAUUUUUGCAUUGAGCAAGAUAUUGAACUUUCUGAUAUGGAUGCUAUGCAUAUACCCCGAGGAUCGAAAUCAAAGCGUAAGGCUCAAACUGAUGGCAUAUCAAAUAAGAAUUACUACCAAAGUGUGAUGUAUGUUGUUAUUGAUAUAUUAUGUGUAGAGAUUGAUGACCGCUUUAGUGAAAGCAGCACAACCUUGCUUCUUGGGAUGGCUUCUUUGGAUCCUUCUGAUUCGUUUGCUAAUUUUGACAAAGAAAAAGUGUUAUCAAUGGCUCGUUUGUAUCCAGAUGAUUUUGGGAGUGAAAGCAAGAUUGAAGAUCUUAGUGUCCAACUUGAUAACUUCCUUGAAAAUGUUCGUGAUGAUUCAAGACUCUCCAAUUUGAAAGGGAUAUGUAUUCGUAUCCGUUGCUUAAUGGUAACAUCGAUAGAAAGCACCGGGGCGCCCUUAUGGAAGCGGGCAAGAACUUAG